rnacentral:rRNA from 1 species
GAUGAACGCUGGCGGCGUGCUUAACACAUGCAAGUCGAACGGUGAAGCAGAGCUUGCUCUGUGUAUCAGUGGCGAACGGGUGAGUAACACGUGAGCAACCUGCCCCUGACUCUGGGAUAAGCGCUGGAAACGGCGUCUAAUACUGGAUAUGAGCUGCGACCGCAUGGUCAGCAGUUGGAAAGAUUUUUCGGUCUGGGAUGGGCUCACGGCCUAUCAGCUUGUUGGUGAGGUAAUGGCUCACCAAGGCGUCGACGGGUAGCCGGCCUGAGAGGGUGACCGGCCACACUGGGACUGAGACACGGCCCAGACUCCUACGGGAGGCAGCAGUGGGGAAUAUUGCACAAUGGGCGAAAGCCUGAUGCAGCAGCGCCGCGUGAGGGAUGACGGCCUUCGGGUUGUAAACCUCUUUUGGCAGGGAAGAAGCGAGAGUGACGGUACCUGCAGAAAAAGCGCCGGCUAACUACGUG